ACCCAAGCAGUAGUGGCUCUGAUUAAGCAAAGAUAACGGUUACCGGGCUGGUGCGGCUAAGCCCCGCCGCCGGAGCCCGGGGGACCACAUACCUUUGUACCUCUCCAGAACAUCCUCGUAGGCCUGGAGGUACUCCUGCUCUUCCACGUACAGGCAAAUUCCAGGGUAAGGUGUCUCCCGGAGCUGGAGAUGCGGAGCCAGAUUUCUGGCUGAAAUCAUCCUCAUCAGAAAAAUCCGCAGAGGAAGACAUAGAGCAGCGAUAGGAUGCGUUCCCGGAACUCUACAGAGGAUGACACAGGGAAAAAAAAAGCAUUAACAGCAUAACACUCACAUAUGCUCAUCGAUUUCAACAGCCCCCUCCCUGCCCCCGAACGGAGUCUGGCAUCCUGUACCAUCCUCAAUGCUGAAGGGAUACACAAACAAGAAAUGAAACCCAGGGCUCACCAUCUUUUCUCCACGGCGCCUCCGACAGCAGAAACAAAACCCAGGCAGUCCCAAUACAUGGAAGAUGUGCACAGAAGUGUGUGGCCUGCGGUCCGGCCACCAGCUCACAAAUGACUGGCCCAACAAUGAAGCCAGAAUCAACAGCCUUCCUGUUACAAAUCUAUAGUAUUUGGCUCCCCCACCAGGACAGGAGAAACAUUUUCCAUUAGGCUGCUGGUUAAUUCAUUAAGGCAACCAACUCGAAGUUUCAAAAACAAAGCACAAAUGCAGGAUGUUGAGUCCCAAUUCCUUUCCGUUUCGGGUCGCCUCACCGCUGGAGUCUCCUUUCUGACGAGCUUUAAGCCCCUUGUCCUCUUUAUUUAAUUUGCUUCAUGAGAUUGAAGCAGGUUCCCAGAAAAGAGCAAGGAGGGAGGAAGGACAGAUUCUGAGAAGAGCUUUUCUUAAGGCUGGGAGAACACAAAAGACUGUUUUCAGAAGCCUAGGACAGCACCAAUAAACAAACAUCUGAACUCAGUUGAGAGUUCUUCAGAUAAUUUAAACUUCUAACAAAGUAACAGCUGCCAAUAAUGUAAAUGGGGAUGAUGGCAGCACAGUGACAGGAAACAGAGCCCUUCUCAGCUCCUGGUCAUCCCACAGGGAAGGGAGAAACAGGAUGUUUCCACCAAAGCACUUUGCCUGAAGGUUAGUCCUCCCUUCAUCAAGUAGGAACAAAUCUGCGGGAUCAUAUCUUGCUAAAAGGAUUCUAUCUUCCAUUCAGGGAAAGGGCACAAGGGAUCAGUCCUGCCUUCUUGAUGGAGUUGGAUUUGUGAUCCUGUAGAGAGCCACCAGCUUACUGUGGAAAUCAGGAUGUGAUGGGCUCUGGGAACAGAGUUAUAAAGUAUCAAAGGGAAGUCUUCACUUUCCCAUUUAGAAUUCCACUUGGCUAAGUGAGGCACAUCGUGAAGAUGGCAAAACUGGUACAACUCGAAUUCCUGAAACGUAUCUUGCAGUCACCGAUUCCUCAGAAGCAAGUUGCAGACAGGAAUCAGUGAGGCAUACUCCAAUUUGAGCAAAAACACUGGGCUGCUCACAAAAGCGGUGGUGGCUACUGCAGCAAAACAGGCUGUGUGAGCAACAUCCCAAAGCACUCACCCACAGCCUGUGAAACAAACUAUAAGUGAAUCAGGACUAUUAAUCUUGCCUCGCUCUAUUCAGGCAUGUUGUUACACACGGUCAACACCACCAUUUUAACAGUACACAUAAUAUCUCCCACAAAGUAAAGUGUCUAAGGGUUAUCUUUAGCUCUAUUCUUCACCGAAAAAGUGGUCUUCCAUUUUAUUUUACCUGCCAUUUCAUCACCUUGGCUAAUUUAUUUAUUCAGAUUUUGUGUGUUCUCCUCAUAAACAUUAAGUAAAUAAAUAAAAUUGAUUUUUCUGUAUUGUAGCUAGAGUCCACA